UUUGUUUUUUGUACUUAGGACAAAUGUUAAGUAUUCUAGAUUAGUGGUUCUCAAAUUACCCUUAAAGAAACACAGAUCAUGCCUCUUGACCCCUUUUGUUAUAUUUGCCAAAUGAGGCCCCCUGGGAUAAAUUUCCCAGCCAUAUAGCUAAUGAUAAAAUUCCCCGAGUGCAGGGAGGCAGACGAGAAAAGACUGCAAACUCUUUUUCCAACAUAUUCUGAAAAUCAUCUCCUGACCCCUCCCAGCUUUUUGAUCAGACAAGCAGCUUAUUCUUCCCUCGCAGAGCAGAUCACCUGAACCUCUUUCAAGAUCAUGUGAUCAUCUCACCAGAUCAAACUCACUUGAACAGGAGACCGCUGUGACCCAAAGCCCGUGUUUGAAGAUGUUUGAUGUGCCAGCCUAGGCACCCAACCUCGGGUACAAAGCCGUCUCCCCUGAUGGUGCUUCAGUGGCGACCUGCGGGAUAAUUUAUGCUGCGUGUGCAACAGUGUUGUCCACCUUCCAUUGAUCUGCUAAAUCUCCAUAAGAUCUUCCCUCAGACCAAAGGAAAAACUCUAGAGGAAAACAGAAAUGAAGGUCAACAAGAUGUCAAGUGCAGCUGGACGGAAGGCAAAUCCACGGCGCACCUUACGGACACAGCGGGAACAUGAAUAUAAACUUAGAAAAACUUGAAACAAAAGCAACAAAGGGUCAAAC